GAUCCUGGCUCAGGAUGAACGCUAGCUACAGGCUUAACACAUGCAAGUCGAGGGGCAGCAUUUCAGUUUUGCUUGCAAACUGAAGAUGGCGACCGGCGCACGGGUGAGUAACACGUAUCCAACCUGCCGAUAACUCCGGGAUAGCCUUUCGAAAGAAAGAUUAAUACCGGAUGGCAUAUGAUUAUCGCAUGAUAAUCCUAUUAAAGAACUUCGGUUAUCGAUGGGGAUGCGUU
rnacentral:rRNA from 1 species